rnacentral:rRNA from 1 species
CAGCCCUAAACGAUGCGCGUUAGGUGUAUCGGUGACCACGAGUCACCGAGGUGCCGAAGGGAAACCGUGAAACGUGCCGCCUGGGAAGUACGGUCGCAAGGCUGAAACUUAAAGGAAUUGGCGGGGGAGCACUACAACGGGUGGAGCCUGCGGUUUAAUUGGACUCAACGCCGGAAACUACACCGGGGGCGGACAGCAAUAUGUAGGUCAAGCUAAAGACUUUACCAGAAUCGCUGAGAGGAGGUGCAUGGCGUAGUCGUG